GUUCGAGCCAUGUUUGAAAUCAAGACAAGCAUUAGAUAUAAUUCUUGCGAUAAACAUAAUCAGUUUCCUUCCUUAUACUGCAGUUAACAUUUCUGCUCUGGCCGGGUUUCCCGACCAUACACACCAGGGUAUCAAGACCGUGACCUACCUGCUCGAGAACAUGCCUCUUGAUGAUAAGGAGGCACCAAAUAUGCCACGGCCCCCUGAUGGUGAUGCUUCUGCCCGAGCCCCUCUUGGUGACAUAUCUUGAACAUCAUUUCCGAAUUACUCCAACGACAAUGCCAGCGUCACACGACCUUACCCCGUAUGGAUCUCGCUGGGAAAGGGUAAACCUUGCUAAGCAACACAGACGUACAAAGGAAAACGAUAAGAUCGAUUCGAUAAAUGCCAGCCGACGCUCUCUUAGCAGCAUCUGCACUAAUGGUCGACUCUCCAACUGGAAUCCAGAGAUUGAACACAAGAAGCAUCCCAUGCCACGAUAUAUGGCCGUGACUUCUCGGGUACGGUUCAAGGCACUGCUGAUGUUUCAUCAUGAUGGAGAACAUAACAGGACCUCACAAGCACAAAAAAGGGACGUCAUAUACACGCAGAGAAGGACAGCUUGUAAGGAGAAACAAGAGAAGGAAAAUUGUGUCGCUUAUGUACCAUCACAAGCACAGAGGGGCAAGAGAAACCCUAAACAACGGGCAACGUACCAGACGAAAAAGGGACUCCCCUUAUUAUGUCCUUUAGCAUUGAGCCAAUAUUUACUAGCUCCGCAUCGCUGCAGGCGCCUACAUGGACGAUAAUUCCAUCCUCAUGGGUUCGGUGAAUGGCAAUCCCACGACUAUGUCCGCAUGCACGGACACAAGCACCUUCGAAACGGAUGGUGCCUACCUCAGCAGGACCAUGGGUGUUAAUGUUUCGCUAACAAAUGCUAAAACGGUUCAUCAUGAUGGAGAACAUAAAAGGACCUCAAUAGACGAAAAAAGGGAUAUUCUAAAUGCCUGAAGAAGAGCGGCUUAUAAGGUGAAAAAAGAAAAGGAAAAAUGUUCCGGUUAUGUGCCAUCACAAGAUAAAAGGGAUGAGAUAAACACUAAACGACGGGUAGCGUACCGGAAGAAAAAAGAAGGUCAAACAAGCCCCGUUCAUGUUGUGUCCCAAGAACAAAGGGACCUUAUUAACAAACAGAGAUGAUCCGCUUACCGGUUGAAUAAGGAACACGUAAGCGCGCAUAGGAAAGAACGCCGAGAUAGCUUGACACCCAAGGUAAAGUCUGAGAGGAGUGCUCAGCGCAGACAGCGGGAGAAGGCUAUGCGGAACACCCCAUGCGUUGAAUCCAUUGCAAUGGUUCGUCUAGAUCUAAGUGUUGGGAAUCGUAGCAUA